CUUUAAGUAUAUACGUAAGCUUCUUUUCUAUUCAUUUAUUGACUUUAUUUUAGAAAACAUGUACAUUUUUAAACCACGGGGCAUUUGGGGCUGUUCUUAAAGAGACUUUGGAUUACGCACAGAAAUGGCAAAGAUACACAGAAAAACAACCAUUGAGAUUUUUUGAUCGGGAGCUAUUGCCUCAUUUGGUUUAUGUUACAAGGCGACUAGCAAAGUUUGUCGGUUGUGAGCCUAAGGAUCUUUUGUUGAUUAAUAAUGUCACUACAGCUAUAAAUACCGUUGUUCACAAUAUUCCGAUAGAAAAGGGGGACAUCAUAUACUGUCUCAAUACAACCUAUGGU